rnacentral:rRNA from 1 species
AGAGUUUGAUUCUGGCUCAGGAUGAACGCUGGCGGCGUGUUUAACACAUGCAAGUCGAGCGAGAAACUUCUCAGUUGAUUCUUCGGAUGAAACAGAGUUGUGGAAAGCGGCGGACGGGUGAGUAACGCGUAGGCAACCUGCCCCUUGCAGAGGGAUAGCCUCGGGAAACCGGGAUUAAAACCUCAUAAUGCGGCACUGAGACAUCUCGGAGCCGCCAAAGAUUUAUCGGCAAGGGAUGGGCCUGCGUCUGAUUAGUUAGUUGGUGGGGUAACGGCCUACCAAGGCGACGAUCAGUAGCCGACCUGAGAGGGUGAUCGGCCACAUUGGAACUGAGACACGGUCCAAACUCCUACGGGAGGCAGCAGUGGAGAAUCUUGCACAAUGGGCGAAAGCCUGAUGCAGCAACGCCGCGUGAAGGAUGAAGGCCCUUGGGUCGUAAACUUCUGUUCUAAGGGAAGAUAAUGACGGUACCUUAGGAGCAAGUCCCGGCUAACUACGUGCCAGCCGCCGC